rnacentral:rRNA from 1 species
UUUAUCCUACGGGGCGCAGCAGUAGGGAAUAUUGCUCAAUGGGGGAAACCCUGAAGCAGCAACGCCGCGUGGAGGAUGAAGGUUUUCGGAUUGUAAACUCCUUUUGUUAGAGAAGAUAAUGACGGUAUCUAACGAAUAAGCUCCGGCUAACUACGUGCCAGCAGCCGCGGUAAUACGUAGGGAGCAAGCGUUAUCCGGAAUUAUUGGGUGUAAAGGGUGCGUAGACGGGAUGUCAAGUUAGUUGUGAAAUACCUCGGCUCAACUGAGGAACUGCAACUAAAACUAACAUUCUUGAGUGCAGGAGG